AUGCAAGCAUGUCAAAGCAAAUGAUAAUAAAGAACACACAAAAAAAGUCAUAUUUUGGGAUAAGUAAGGACAGAGUCCUUUCACUGAGGGCUAAACUUACACAGGGAGAUUUUUGGUCAAGAAGAGUCCUACUAGCACUGCAGGGUGCGGUGAAACAUGCUUUAAGUUAGCAAGCUCGUCAUCUUCCUGCUUGUGACCUCCUAGGAAGCACAUACAGGAAAACUUUCAGAUUUUGAGAGUUCAGGAGUGUGGCACUGUCUUUUCCCUUGUCUUCAAAACUUUCAUUUUCUCUCAAACUGUCUUCUGUUUAGAGUGUGAGCUACUUUGUAAAGUUCAAAGCACAAUGGAAUUCACCUCCUUUGGAAGGUAUUGGGUGUUACUACGGUACAAAUAAUAUGUAAAGAAAAGAAAUUUUAUUUAGUUUAAACUUUAUGAAGUAGUACCUAACAAAAAUCUGAAAUCGUUGCUGAAAUUGAGCCGAUGCGUGGAACUUCAAGCUGUGAAGUGGCUGAGCGAAGCUGAAUCUAUCUUUAAGACAGCGUUAAGUAGACGCUAGGACAUUAAACUGCUGCGAGAGCCUCCUAGUGGUGCCUAAAGCUUACAGGGAGUUGCAGUGAAAUCCUACACCUUUGCCUGCACUGUCGAAACUUGCAGAGCUGUGAGCUUGUUCAGGAACAUCGAGUUACAGGACAUCUUAAUGUCUGAAUUUGCAUGAACAAGAUAAGGAAAGACUAGUAGACUAUUAUGAAGUAACUUGUUUUGUAGGAAGAAAUAACUCAGACUUGCUUGCUGUAAGAUUAUUUUACACUCUAAAUUUGGAAGCUAUAUUUAUUUUAUCCAGAAAGAACUAAUGUUCUUUUUAACUUGAUCUUUUAAAGCUGUAGACCUGUGCUAUUUUUUCUACUAUAUAGCUUAUGUGCUAUAACUGUAGUUUAGUUUAUUCUUGUCUACUUUACUUGAGACCUGACAGACUUUUUGAGAAUUUUCUGAUUUCUCACAAUUAAUAUCAUUAAGUUUUUUGUGUACCUAUGCCAUAUUCCUAGACUUCUACUGCAGCCUCAUUUUUGGUUGUGAAAUUUAACUAAGUAUCACUUCCAUGUUUUUCAGUAUGUUUAUUGUAUUUUCUUUUAAUCCAAGUGAUGUUUUCCUCUUUUUGAGGUGUGGGACAUAGGCAUUAUAGCUGCUUGAUGAGAGAGGAAAAAGAAGGUUAUGAACACAAGAAAAGUGUGGUGGCAUCUUGAAGUAACUUUUUCUGAUGCCUUAUCGUUUUUGUAUACUUUUAAAUGUAUAUACACAUAAUGUAGAAACUACUGUGGAUUCAUCCUUUUCAAUUGCUGUCUGGGCAAAUUUCUAAUUUUGUACAAAAUAAAAAUCCAUGAACAUCUGCAUAGCAAUAGAAAGAGUUACACAACUCAAGUAUUGUAAGAAUUUAAUUGCUUUCUGAUAAUGUAUACUCUCAUGGAAUUAAAAUAUUGGAAAAACUGAA